AACGAACGCUGGCGGCAUGCCUAACACAUGCAAGUCGAACGAGACCUUCGGGUCUAGUGGCGCACGGGUGCGUAACGCGUGGGAACCUGCCCUUAGGUUCGGAAUAACUCCCCGAAAGGGGUGCUAAUACCGGAUAAUGUCUUCGGACCAAAGAUUUAUCGCCUUUGGAUGGGCCCGCGUUGGAUUAGCUAGUUGGUAGGGUAAAAGCCUACCAAGGCGACGAUCCAUAGCUGGUCUGAGAGGAUGCUCAGCCACACUGGGACUGAGACACGGCCCAGACUCCUACGGGAGGCAGCAGUGGGGAAUAUUGGACAAUGGGCGAAAGCCUGAUCCAGCAAUGCCGCGUGAGUGAUGAAGGCCUUAGGGUUGUAAAGCUCCUUUAGCCGGGAUGAUAAUGACAGUACCGGGAGAAUAAGCUCCGGCUAACUCCGUG
rnacentral:rRNA from 1 species